UACGACUGCUAAGACUGGAUAGGAGACAAGAAGGCAUCUUCUUGUUUUUAAAAGACCUAGCAAUGGGUAUGCUUAGGUAGGAGCUUGCGUCACAUUAGUUAGUUGGUGGGGUAAAGGCCUACCAAGAUAUGAUGUGUAGCCGGGCUGAGAGGUUGAACGGCCACAUUGGGACUGAGACACGGCCCAAACUCCUACGGGAGGCAGCAGUAGGGAAUUUUCGGCAAUGGAGGAAACUCUGACCGAGCAACGCCGCGUGAACGAUGAAGUAUUUCGGUACGUAAAGCUCUUUUAUUAGGGAAGAAUAAAUGAUGGAAAAAUCAUUCUGACGGUACCUAAUGAAUAAGCCCCGGCUAACUAUGUGCCAGCAGCCGCGGUAAUACAUAGGGGCAAGCGUUAUCCGGAAUUAUUGGGCGUAAAGGGUGCGUAGGCGGUUAAGUAAGUUUGUGGUCUAAGUGCAAUGCUCAACAUUGUGAUGCUAUAAAAACUGUUUAGCUAGAGUAAGAUAGAGGCAAGUGGAAUUCCAUGCGUAGUGGUAAAAUGCGUAAAUAUAUGGAGGAACACCAGUAGCGAAGGCGGCUUGCUGGGUCUUUACUGACGCUGAGGCACGAAAGCGUGGGGAGCAAACAGGAUUAGAUACCCUGGUAGUCCACGCCGUAAACGAUGAGUACUAAACGUUGGGUAAAACCAGUGUUGAAGUUAACACAUUAAGUACUCCGCCUGAGUAGUACGACGCAAGUAUGAAACUUAAAGGAAUUGACGGGACUCCGCACAAGCGGUGGGUCAUGUUGUUUAAUUCGAAGGUACCCGAAAAACCUCACCAGGUCUUGACAUGCUUCUGCAAAGCUGUAGAAACACAGUGGAGGUUAUCAGUUGCACAGGUGGUGCAUGGUUGUCGUCAGCUCGUGUCGUGAGAUGUUGGGUUAAGUCCCGCAACGAGCGCAACCCUUAUUGUUAGUUACCAGCACGUAAUGGUGGGACUUUAGCAAGACUGCCAGCGAUGAAUUGGAGGAAGGUGGGGACGACGUCAAAUCAUCAUGCCCCUUAUGUCCUGGGCUACAAACGUGAUACAAUGGCUGUUACAAGGGUAGCUGAAGCGCAAGUUUUUGGCGAAUCUCAAAAAAACAGUCUCAGUUCGGAUUGAAGUCUGCAACUCGACUUCAUGAAGUUGGAAUCGCUAGUAAUCGCGAAUCAGCAUGUCGCGGUGAAUACGUUCUCGGGGUUUGUACACACCGACCGUCA
rnacentral:rRNA from 1 species